CUCGUGUAAUGGAAUCUUGAACCAUAAAUGAAUGAGUCGAAGGGCUAUUUAACAGAGCCUCAACCCAUAAUCUCUGCACACGGGAAAUUAUGUGCUUAAAGCGGUGCGUUAUUAAUCAAAGACAGACAAGAGCAGACUGCGACUCCCUUUAGGGAGAACAGAGAGCACAUUUGGUCAUAUUUAGUCUGCUAUGAUGCAAGGAACUGCUUGAGUAACUUUGGGAACAGGGUUGAAUAAUUGAGUUUGAUGAAUGCAGUCAACGUGGGAGGUGUGGAAGUCAGUCCAUCAUUUUUGGAGAGAUUAGGGAAGCUGUUAAGACACAGGUCUGACCUUUUAUCCUGCACUGGGCG